rnacentral:rRNA from 1 species
UACGGGGGGGGCAAGCGUUGUUCGGAAUUACUGGGCGUAAAGGGCUCGUAGGCGGCCAACUAAGUCGGACGUGAAAUCCCCAGGCUCAACCUGGGAACUGCAUCCGAUACUGGAUGGCUUGAAUUCGGGAGAGGGAUGCAGAAUUCCAGGUGUAGCGGUGAAAUGCGUAGAUAUCUGGAGGAACACCGGUGGCGAAGGCGGCGUCCUGGACCAACACUGACACUGAGGAGCGAAAGCCAGGGGAGCAAACGGG